AACGAACGCUGGCGGCAUGCCUAACACAUGCAAGUCGAACGAGACCUUCGGGUCUAGUGGCGCACGGGUGCGUAACGCGUGGGAAUCUGCCCUUGGGUUCGGAAUAACAGUUGGAAACGACUGCUAAUACCGGAUGAUGACGUAAGUCCAAAGAUUUAUCGCCCAGGGAUGAGCCCGCGUAGGAUUAGCUAGAUGGUGGGGUAAAGGCCUACCAAGGCGACGAUCCUUAGCUGGUCUGAGAGGAUGAUCAGCCACACUGGGACUGAGACACGGCCCAGACUCCUACGGGAGGCAGCAGUGGGGAAUAUUGGACAAUGGGCGAAAGCCUGAUCCAGCAAUGCCGCGUGAGUGAUGAAGGCCUUAGGGUUGUAAAACUCUUUUACCCGGGAUGAUAAUGACAGUACCGGGAGAAUAAGCCCCGGCUAACUCCGUG
rnacentral:rRNA from 1 species